GACGAACGCUGGCGGCGUGCCUAAUACAUGCAAGUAGAACGCACAGUUUAUACCGUAGCUUGCUACACCAUAGACUGUGAGUUGCGAACGGGUGAGUAACGCGUAGGUAACCUGCCUGGUAGCGGGGGAUAACUAUUGGAAACGAUAGCUAAUACCGCAUAAUAUUAAUUAUUGCAUGAUAAUUAAUUGAACGGUGCAAUUGCACCACUACCAGAUGGACCUGCGUUGUAUUAGCUAGUAGGUGAGGUAACGGCUCACCUAGGCGACGAUACAUAGCCGACCUGAGAGGGUGAUCGGCCACACUGGGACUGAGACACGGCCCAGACUCCUACGGGAGGCAGCAGUAGGGAAUCUUCGGCAAUGGACGAAAGUCUGACCGAGCAACGCCGCGUGAGUGAAGAAGGUUGUCGGAUCGUAAAGCUCUGUUGUAAGAGAAGAACGGGUGUGAGAGUGGAAAGUUCACACUGUGACGGUAUCUUACCAGAAAGGGACGGCUAACUACGUG
rnacentral:rRNA from 1 species